rnacentral:rRNA from 1 species
GCCUAGCCUUAAAUCUCGAUGCUUACCCCACCAAAGCAUCCGCCUGAGGACUACGAGCACAAACGCUUAAAACUCUAAGGACUUGGCGGUGCCCCAAACCCACCUAGAGGAGCCUGUUCUGUAAUCGACAACCCACGAUAUACCCGACCACUUCUUGCCAAUAGCAGCCUACAUACCGCCGUCGUCAGCCCACCUUACCUGAAAGUUCAGCAGUGGGCACAAUCGCCUCAACCCCCGCUAACAAGACAGGUCAAGGUAUAGCCCAUGAAGUGGAAGAAAUGGGCUACAUUUUCUAAUUUAGAAAACAACGGAAAGGGGCGUGAAAUAGCCCCUGGAAGGCGGAUUUAGUAGUAAGGCGGGACUAUGAAGCCCUCCUUAAACCGGCUCUGAGGCAC